rnacentral:rRNA from 1 species
GUGUCAGCAGCCGCGGUAAUACAGAGGGAGCGAGCGUUGUUCGGAAUUACUGGGCGUAAAGGGCGCGUAGGCGGUCUUGCAAGUCCUGUGUGAAAUCCCUCGGCUCAACUGAGGAACUGCACGGGAAACUGCGAGGCUUGAGUUCGGGAGAGGGAAGCGGAAUUCCGGGUGUAGCGGUGAAAUGCGUAGAUAUCCGGAGGAACACCGGUGGCGAAGGCGGCUUCCUGGACCGACACUGACGCUGAGGCGCGAAAGCUAGGGGAGCAAACGGGAUUAGAAACCCGGGUAGUCC